GUAGUACUCCCUCUGUCCGGAAAUACUUGUCAUCAAAAUGAAUAAAAGAGAAUGUAUCUAGAUGUAUUUUAGUUCUAGAUACAUCCAUUUUUGUCCAUUUUGAUGACAAGUAUUUUCGGACGGAGGGAGUAUUAU
rnacentral:pre_miRNA from 1 species